rnacentral:rRNA from 1 species
AUUGAACGCUGGCGGCAUGCUUUACACAUGCAAGUCGAACGGCAGCACGGGCUUCGGCCUGGUGGCGAGUGGCGAACGGGUGAGUAAUACAUCGGAACGUACCCAGUAGUGGGGGAUAGCCCGGCGAAAGCCGGAUUAAUACCGCAUAUGCCCUGAGGGGGAAAGCGGGGGACCGAAAGGCCUCGCGCUAUUGGAGCGGCCGAUGGCUGAUUAGCUAGUUGGUGGGGUAAAGGCCUACCAAGGCGACGAUCAGUAGCUGGUCUGAGAGGACGACCAGCCACACUGGGACUGAGACACGGCCCAGACUCCGGCGGGAGGCAGCAGUGGGGAACUUUGGACAAUGGGCGAAAGCCUGAUCCAGCAAUGCCGCGUGUGCGAAGAAGGCCUUCGGGUUGUAAAGCACUUUUGUUUGGAAAGAAAAGGUUUGGGUUAAUACCCUGGACUGAUGACGGUACCAAUCGAAUAAGCACCGGCUAACUACGUGCCAGCCGCCGCAGUAA